UUGGAGAGUUUUCUUUACCGUUCCAAAACAGAUGCCCCCCGAAGGAAGGCAGCAGCUGUCUCACUGACUGAAAAACAAACAAGUGAAACUGUUCGAGGAUGCAAAGAUCGUACAGGAAGGACCCCCCGCCCCCAAAGACGCGCAUAAGACCUACCUCACAGGCGGAUUCUUAACCACUGUGCCACAAGGGAAGAACCUGAACGGUGUCCUUAAAGGAGAGGAGAGAACACAGAGACACACUGAGAAGAAGGCCACGUGGAGAUGGAGGCAGAGAUUGGAGUGAGGCAUCUACAAGACAACACGAAGGAUGGCUGGUCCAGAAGCUAUGCGGAGGCAGGGAAGUAUCCUCCCCAAAAGCUUUGGAAGAGAGUACGUUGACUUUGGACUUCUAGCCUCCAGAACUGUGAGAAAAUAAAUUUCUGUUGUUUUAAAUUA